rnacentral:rRNA from 1 species
AGUAACGCGUGAGGAACCUGCCUCAAAGAGGGGGACAACAGUUGGAAACGACUGCUAAUACCGCAUAAGCCCACGGCUCGGCAUCGAGCAGAGGGAAAAGGAGCAAUCCGCUUUGAGAUGGCCUCGCGUCCGAUUAGCUAGUUGGUGAGGUAACGGCCCACCAAGGCGACGAUCAGUAGCCGGACUGAGAGGUUGACCGGCCACAUUGGGACUGAGAUACGGCCCAG